GCCUACGGGAGGCAGCAGUGGGAAUAUUGCACAAUGGGCGAAAGCCUGAUGCAGCGACGCCGCGUGAAGGAUGAAGUAUUUCGGUAUGUAAACUUCUAUCAGCAGGGAAGAAAAUGACGGUACCUGACUAAGAAGCCCCGGCUAACUACGUGCCAGCAGCCGCGGUAAUACGUAGGGGGCAAGCGUUAUCCGGAUUUACUGGGUGUAAAGGGAGCGUAGACGGCAUUGCAAGUCCGGAGUGAAAGCCCACGGCCCAACCGUGGGACUGCUCUGGAAACUGUAGAGCUGGAGUGCGGGCGGGGCAG
rnacentral:rRNA from 1 species